rnacentral:tRNA from 1 species
GGAGAGGUGCGAGAGUGGUUUAAUCGGUGCGCCUGGAGAGCGCAUGGCCGCCAAAAGUGGCCCCUGGGUUCGAAUCCCAGCCUCUCCG